rnacentral:rRNA from 1 species
GGACGAACGCUUGUCGGCGUGCUUAACACAUGCAAGUCGAACGGAAAGGCCCAGCUUGCUGGGUACUCGAGUGGCGAACGGGUGAGUAACACGUGGGUGAUCUGCCCUGAACUUUGGGAUAAGCCUGGGAAACUGGGUCUAAUACCGGAUAUGACCUUGGAGUGCAUGCUCUGGGGUGGAAAGCUUUUGCGGUUCAGGAUGGGCCCGCGGCCUAUCAGCUUGUUGGUGGGGUAAUGGCCUACCAAGGCGACGACGGGUAGCCGACCUGAGAGGGUGAUCGGCCACACUGGGACUGAGACACGGCCCAGACUCCUACGGGAGGCAGCAGUGGGGAAUAUUGCACAAUGGGCGCAAGCCUGAUGCAGCGACGCCGCGUGAGGGAUGACGGCCUUCGGGUUGUAAACCUCUUUCACCAGGGACGAAGCGCAAGUGACGGUACCUGGAGAAGAAGCACCGGCCAACUACGUGCCAGCAGCCGCGGUAAUACGUAGGGUGCGAGCGUUGUCCGGAAUUACUGGGCGUAAAGAGCUCGUAGGCGGUUUGUCGCGUCGUCUGUGAAAUUCUGCAACUCAAUUGUAGGCGUGCAGGCGAUACGGGCAGACUUGAGUACUACAGGGGAGACUGGAAUUCCUGGUGUAGCGGUGAAAUGCGCAGAUAUCAGGAGGAACACCGGUGG